rnacentral:rRNA from 1 species
AGCGAACGCUGGCGGCAGGCCUAACACAUGCAAGUCGAACGAAGCCUUCGGGCUUAGUGGCGGACGGGUGAGUAACACGUGGGAACGUACCUUUUGGUUCGGAAUAACGCAGAGAAAUUUGCGCUAAUACCGAAUGAGCCCUUCGGGGGAGAGAUUUAUCGCCGAAAGAUCGGCCGGCGUUGGAUCAGGUAGUUGGUGUGGUAAAGGCGGACCAAGCCUACGAUCCAUAGCUGGUCUGAGAGGAUGAUCAGCCACACUGGGACUGAGACACGGCCCAGACUCCUACGGGAGGCAGCAGUGGGGAAUCUUGCGCAAUGGGCGAAAGCCUGACGCAGCCAUGCCGCGUGAAUGAUGAAGGUCUUAGGAUUGUAAAAUUCUUUUACCAGGGACGAUAAUGACGGUACCUGGAGAAAAAGCCCCGGCUAACUUCGUGCCAGCCGCCGCUGUAACAC